UCCUGUGGCUGCCUGCUAUCAUCGUUUUCCUGCCACCCCAGGAGAGUGUUGCGGAAAUGAACCAGAUGAACGUCUGUUCAUGUUUCCCAAAUGAAACCCCACAGCACACAGCUUGGUCUACGUGAAAAUGUAGGACCAGACAUCUUACAAGCAGGAUGCUGAGGUGAUGAUGCCAGAGCCAGUGUUGAGUACACUGGUGGUCUAUCCAUCAUCAGGCUACUGCAUGUGUUCACAGAGGUUCUACUGAUGCCCACUCUGACCGUGGAGCCUUCAGGACGACAAACUUUGCGACCUGUACGCUCUCGUUGGCUGGCCCUCGCUUCAUACUCGUCGCCAAACCCACUGGCUCCAUGUCAUCUACAAGACCCUGCUAGGUAAAG